CAGAGUCAUGUGGGGCCUAAUAUUCUUCUUCUUUUUUUUGAGAGAAAGGUAGCAUGCUACCCGCUUCGUUUAUUUCAUUUAAAAAUAAACUUACUGAAAAUGUGAAUCAACUAGGAUUCAAACUUGGGUCUCGGGUACCAACCAUUAUGCCCUUUUGCCACUUGCGCCAGGGGCCUAAUAUUCUUAGUAGAGCUUACACUUGUACAAUGUAGAAGUUUAAUGAU
rnacentral:lncRNA from 1 species